GGAGGGGCGGGACUUAGCUCAAAGGGACCGAAUGGAAGUUAAGCUGGAUGUGGGUGACGUUCGCUUUUAUUUGUAGUGUGGUGUGUAGGUGUCAACUAACAGUACUUUCCUGGUGCCUACUUCGGGUUCCCAGCUAUGUCUAAUAAUUAAAAGUAUAAUUUUGGAGGGUCCCGUGGAUGGUUCAGCGGAUAAAGAAUGGUAUGCCACCAAGCCGCCGACCUGAGUCCCAUCUUCAGAAGCCACAAGCAAAUGAAAGACUGUGGAUUCAUUCAAGUUUGACAGAGAUCAGGUUUGAUUGGGGAAGACCCCCUGAAAAUCCUGGCUACAGAUAUAAAGAACUAAACCUAGAAAAACUACAAGGCAGUCUGUGUGUUUCAGAGCAAGCGAACGAGACACCAAUAAAAAUGAGUGGUCCAAGUAAUUCAGCAUCUCAGAAUGCCUCUGUUGCAGUUUCCUAAGAGUUCUGCAUCUAGAACAGCUUCAAGGCUGCUGGCUGAGAUGGUCCAGCCUCACAGGCUAUUCUAGCCAGGACUGCAGGUAAGCCUUGUCCUUUCCCAUUGCACAGAGACUGAACAACAAAUGUUAUAACUAAUUUCCUUAGGACUUGACUAUUAUCUCAAUUUUCUCAGGUUCACUAAAGAUUCCUUUGCCCACAGACAACAGAAGCAGUUUAGAGAAUACAAUGCUCACAUUCCCAAGAGGUAGAGUGGGUGGUUUUGGUCAUUUCGUGGGUUAUGGAUAUUUGUCAUUAUUUAGUGGGGAUAUAGGAUAAAAGACAACUAUUAACUUCAAAUAUUUUGCAUUGUUAUAGAUUUUAGUAGCCAGGUGGUAGUGGCAUACACCUUUAAUCCCAACACUUGGGAGGCAGAGGAAAGCGGACAUUAGUGAGUUCAAAGCCAGUCUGGUCUACAGAGCGAGUUCCAGGACAGGCUCCAAACUGCACAGGGAAACCCUGUAUUGAAAAACAAAACAAAAAAAAAAUUAAGGGCUGGAGAGAUGGCUCAGAGGUUAAGAGCACCAGUUGUUCAUCCAGAGGUCCUGAAUUCAAUUCUGAGCAACCAUAUGUUGUCUCACAACCAUCUAUAAUGGGAUCUGAUGCACUCUUCUGGUAUGAGGUCAUAUAUACUUGUUAUAUAAAUUUAAAGUUAUUUUUGUUAUAGGUAUAUACGGUAUAUCUUUCUACUCUCUUUUGGGAUAUUGUGCUUAUGUAACUCAUUUAAGAACGCGGAUUAGCAGUUAGUCAUCUAUAAUAAUCAAACUUACAGUUGUGUUAGUUAUGUUUUCAAGGUUAAACAGAUAUAUUUUAGAUAGAUGGUCAUCAGAUACUUCACAGAUGUAUCUUCACCUACAGAAUAUGACAUUUAAGAUGUUUAAUAACCCAGGACUUUUCAUGACAGUGAGACAGGUCUGCUCCUGGUAGCGCUGAUUUACUUCAGAGAAGAUGAUGGGCAUUGAAAAACCUCAAUAUGGAGUUUGCCUUUAUUAUGGCAAAGUUAGUCACAGGUAAAGAAACUACUUUUGCCUUGACUGCUGACAGUAUGCUGUACAAACUGGACAAGCAGGACACAAAGGAAAAAAAAUCCGAACUUUGCCGAAACAAGGCAGACAGUCCUUUAGAAUUCCUGCUUCAUAGACAAGUCUGCCAGAUAGUCUAGGCCUGUAGGCCAAAGAUUAGUUACCUCAACAUUGCAGAGGAACCUUGGAUGACUGGCUAGACAGUCAGAUGCCUGUCAGUUCUUUAGUUUUGGAAGUGGCUUGCACUGUACUUCUGGUUCACUCAGGUAAUAUAUCCUUCUGGGAUCUUUGAUGGAGUUGAAGACUAGAUAGAUACAGUUUCUGUUUUCCUUAGUUAUAGUAGAAAGUAAAUUAGAUACUGAGCUAUAGACUCAUCAAGAUAGAAUAGAUAAUAAAGAGAAUUCUCUGAAUUUGCCAAAUGCAAAUUGACUGGGUAUGUAACUGUAAUCCUUACUUGAUAAUUAUUGUUAUAUGUAACUUUACUAUGAUGUUAAAGUUAAAACCCUUUUUUUUUUUAAGACAAAAAGGGGAAAAUAUUGUGGAAUAUUAUUUUACAAUUUCUAUUGCUGUGAAGAGACACUAUGACCAUGACAACUCUUAUAAAGGAAAACAUUUGAGUGGCUUACAGUUUCAGAGGUUUAGUCCAUUAUCAUCACAGUGGGACGUGGUGACUGAAGAAGAAGCUGAGUGGAGAAGGAGCUACAUCUUGAUCCCAAAGGCAACAGGAAGUGGUCUGGGUGUCACACUGAGUGAAGCUUGAGCAAAGGAGACCUUAAAGCCCACCCCCAUAACAAUACACUUCCUCCAACAAAGCCACACCUAAUAAUGCCACACCCUAUAAGUUUAUGGGUGCUAAUGACAUUCAAACUACCCCACACCUCAAAACCAAAGUAAAGACAAAAAGGGGAAGGGGGCUGGUAGGAAUGUAACUCAGCAGAUGGGUGUUUGCCUAUCAGGUGUGAAGAGAUGGGUUCAGUCUCCAGUACCACUUAAAAUUGGGUUUGGUGGCACACAACUGUAAUCUUAGCACUGGGGAGGUAGAGGAAGGAGGAUUUGAGGUUCAAGGUCAUCCUUAGCUGUAUAGUGAGUUUGAGGCUAGCCUGAGACACAGGAAACCUUAUCUCAAACCUAGUAAAUUAUAGAGAACCCCCAGAAGCUCUUGUUAGUGUGGAUUACCAGUACUGCUAAUUACCGCAUUGCAAAUUAAAACCACGGUGGCUUUAACAUUUCUGUUACUUCAUUAAGCAAUAACCCAUUAUAUGCUGCUUCAUAGCAAUUAGAGUCAUUGAAGCUGUAAUUUUAAUUUUUUUUGCUUUGUUUUGCUUUUUUCAAGACAGGGUUUUUCUAUGUAGCCCUGGCUCUCUUGGAACUCAUUCUGUAGGCCAGGCUAGCCUCCUUUUGCCUCUGUCCCCCAAGUGCUGGGACUAAAAGCAUGUGCCACCAUGCUCGGCUUCAUAAUUUAAAUUUUCAUUGUAAAAAAAAAAAACCAAUUUUCCAAAGCUAAAUAAACAUAGACUAUUGAUGUUGUUUUAUUUUGGCAAAAACAUUAGCGCCCAACCAAACAGACACAGCUGGAUUAGCAUGGCUGUUUGUGUGCUCACCGGGGCGAUGUCCUUUCAUUAAGUGUAUGACACAACUCAACUUCCCACAGGCAAGCACUGCAAUUGAAGGUGUCUGACCCUCUAGACCACACUUUGAGUGCACAGUGAGAGAGUGAUGGCAAGCCCCAGCACCACUGCUUCAUUUCCAUUCUGCAAAUGAGGAAACUAUGGCUAAGAAAGAAGAGGGGUUAGCCUUAACCCUAAGGAGUGAGAGGGGCUAGUCUAAGGAAUGAGAGGGGCUAGCCUGAGGAAUGAGAGGGGUUAGCCUAAGGAGUAAGAGAGGUUAGCCUCAGGAAUGAGUGGGGUUAGCCUAAGGAGUGAGAGGGGCUAACCUAAGGAAUGAGAGGGGUUAGCCUAAGGAGUGAGAGGGGCUAGCCUAAGGAGUGAGAGGGGCUAGCCUAAGGAAUGAGAGAGGUUAGCCUGAGGAAUGAGAGGGGUUAGCCCUAGGAAUGAGAGGAGUUAGCCGAAGGAAUGAAUCUCUAACCCCUUUCCAAAAGGCAGGCAGGUGCUUAAGAUGAACAGAAGGACUCUGGAGUUUCACUAAAGCAUGGCGUGGGGCUGAUUUCAUGAUGUUAGAAAUUCAAUGCAGGAAGAGGAGUUCUUUGCCAGCCCUGAAGUCUAGAAAGGCCCAGAACUGGGGAAUGAAAAGGCUGAAUUUAACCUUUAAAAAACCAUUAUGACUACUGGUGGGUCCAAAGGAAGGGGAAUUUUCAGCUGAAGGGAGGAGGAAAAGUUGGAUGCUAGUUUUGAAUUUCUGGAGGGCUAACCAAACAUUUGGUUUACAGAAAGAAAACCUAGCCCUCUUUGAUCCAUCUUUAAUUAUAGAUUCCCAGUAUUCUGGAGACCAAAGGGAGAAAAUAGCAGCGAAAGGUAGACACAGGAAGUAGGGGCAGGAUCAAAUGAGAUGAACGAAGCCCAAAUUGCAGAUCUCUGCCUUUUGUUUACGCUGUCAGUGGCUGAGCCAUUUUAUGUUCCCUCAAGCAGACUAUAACACUUUUGUUUCUAACUAAGCAAAACACUUUGUUUAGUUCUUUGCUAACACUUAUUAUGCCUUUCUUUUUAUUUUAGCCACCCUAGACAGCAAAGUGAUAAUUCAUUGAACGUUUGAUUUAUGUUGCCUUAACGGUUCAUUAUGAAUGUUGAGCACCUCUAUAUUCCUAUUAGCUAUUCUCUUUGGGGAAAUGUCUGUGCAAGUCACUUGUCCAUUUUUCGUUUGAGUUAUUGGACUUAGUGGAUCUUGAAAGCUCUUUAUAUAUUCAGAGCCUUAAAGCUUCACCAGAUAGAUAUAACACUUGUCUUAAUUAGGGUUCCUAUUGCUUCGAUGAAACGCCAUGACCAAAAAGCAAGUUGGGGAGGAAAGAGCUUAUUAGGUUUACAUUGCUGCUCAUCACUGAGGAAAACUACAGACACGCCUGAAGGGGCAGAGUGUGGCUCAGUGAACUAGGCUGCCUGAGACACCCCUCCAAGACUUCGCCAUAUUCACACAAUAUUUGACGGGCUCUCCCACCUACUGCAUCCCGUCCUGAUACUUAGUCAUUGAAAUGGUACGUCUUCUCUCUUCCUCAUUUUUUUUUUUUGGUUUGUUCGACUGUAGAUUUAAGAUGAGCCUUGUUGCCUGGUGGUAGUGGCAGAGGCAGGCAGAUCUCUGUAACUUCGACGCCAGCCUGGUCUACAUAGUGUGUUCCAGAGCUACAUAAUAAGACCCUGCCUUGAAAAUCAAAACAAAACAAAAAAGAUGUAUCUUCCUAUGUAUUCUGGGCUGGCUUUGAAUUUGUAAUUCUCCCACCUCUGACUCUAAAGCACUGAAAUCCCAGACAUGCUCGACCAUGUCUGAGCAAAAAUACCGCCCAACUCUCAAAACAAGAAAUUAGAAGGAAAACAUAUUUCUGUCCUUUCCUGGAGUCUGUCAUAGACACGUAGGGAGGUCCCUCUUGGUUUAAAUGUGCAGGUUGAAUAACAUGUCUGAAUGAUGUUACCCUGACAGCUUGAGGUCAGGGACCCCACAGAACUCUCUAGAUGUGCAUCUGGUGUUUUGUCAAAAUGCAGCAUGGAAACCCUACAGGCACCCGAACCAUGGAAGUUUUACAUUUCAUUCAUAUAACUAAAGUUUUGUUGACCAAAAGUGGCUGAGGUGUCCCCAAGGCAGUGGUUUGACAGUUUGGUCUCCCCAAACUCACCCUUCACUCUGUGUCUGACUUCCCCAGGGCAGAGGCGAUUCAGCCACCCACACCAGAUCUGUAUCACUAAGGCUGAUGGUCCCUCAUCCUGGAAAACAAUUUUCCACUUUACAAAGCACUUUUGCGAGCGUUUAUCUCCGGAGUCACAGCCCUGUGAUGGAGGCAGACUGUUUACUGUUCUUAUCUAUCCUUUACAGAUGAAGAAACCCAGGCUCAAAAGGGGUUACCUGACUUAUUAGAGGAGGUGCAGGCACGGCCUGAUGAGCUGGGCUAGGAGCUCUGGCUUCCAUCAGGUAGAAGAUGCACUCCCUCUGUCUGCACCCUCCCUCUGUCUGCACCCUCCCUCUGCAUCCUCCCUCCCUCUGUCUGCACCCUCCCUCUACACUCCCUCCCUCUGCCCCCCCCCUGCACUCCCUCCCUCUGCACCCUCUCUCUGCACUCCCUCUGCACUCUGUCCUGCCUGCUGCUGGCCCGAAUUCUUAAAGAGAUCAUGGUGCCCCUGAGCAUCUAUCCCUCACCAGCACCGCUGCAGAACUCACCGCACCUUGAGCAGAAGUCAAGGACUGCUGAGAAGCCAAUCAUGAUGUCACUGUGUCCAGGCACUGAGGCACUGCAUGGCUUUCAGAGAUCCUGUCUGGCAUCCUAGGAGCUGGAGGGUGCUGGUUUUUAUGUCAACUUGAGGCAGCCUAGACUCAUUUUGGAAGAGGACUCCUCAAUUGAAAAAAAAGUGUUCACCAGCUUGGCCUAUGGGCAAGUCUGUAGUAUAUUUUUAUUGAGUAGUGAUUGAUAUGGGAGGGCUCAGUGUCACCCCUGAACAGGAGGCCCUAGGCAAGAAGGCAAGCUGGCUGGGCAGUGGUGGCGCAUACCUUUAAUCCUAGCAUUCGGGAGGCAGAGGCAGGCAGAUCUCUGUGAGUUUGAGGUCAGCCUGGUCUACAAGAGCUAGUUCCAGGACAGGCUCCAAAACUACAGAGAAACCCUGUCUCGAAAAACAAAAAAAUGAGAGAGAGAGAGAGAGAGAGAGAGAGAGAGAGAGAGAGAGAGAGAGAGAGAGAGAGAGAACACAAGCUGUAGCUAGAUAGUGGUGUGCAUGCCUUUAAUCCUAGCACUUGGGAGGCAGAGGCAGACUGAUCUCUGUGGGUUCAAGGAUAGCCUGGUCUACAGAGCUAGUUCCAGGACAGCCAGCACUGCACAGAGAAAGCCUGUUUGGAGGGAGUGGGGGAAGAAGCUGAGCAAACCCUGAGAAGUUAGCCAGUAAGCAGCACUCCUCCAUAGCCUCUGCCAGCUUCUGCCUCUAGGUCCUUUCAUUCCUGCCUGACUUCCCACAUGCUGGACCACAAGCUGUAAGAUAAGAUAAACCCUUUCCUCCACAAGUUACAUUUGACCAUGGUGUUUUAAUAGACACCCCAACUAAGACUCCCCACCUGCCCUCCGGAGUAGGAAUUAUCACUUCUAUUUUACCAAGGAGGAAGCAGUUCCAGAUAACUAGCUUGCCAAAGUGACCUGGGUACUUGGAAAAAUUACUUGUGUUCUGUGUGUGUGUGUGCGCGUGCAUGCGUGUGUGUGUGUGUGUGUGUGUGUGUGUGUAUGUGUGUGUGUCUGUGUGUAGACUAGAGGUAAAUACUGGGGCCUCUUCCUCAAAAUUGAUCUCUACCUUUCUUUUUUCUUUUCUUUCUUUUUUUUUUUUGUUGUUGAUGUUUCCAUUGUAAAUUUUCUUUUUUUAAAAAAAUUGUUACUAUCAAUGCAUGCAUGUGUGUGCACAUUUGAAUUCCACAGUAUGCAUGGAGAAGACGGAAGAGAACGUGGUGGAGUUAUUUUCUCCUCUUCUACCUUCAUGUUAGUUCUGGGGGUUGAACUCAGGUCACCGAUCCUGCUGGCAAGUGCCUUUAGCAGCUGAGCCAUCUCAUCAACCUCUUCCUUCAUCUUCACUGAGCUUGGAGCUUCCUGAUUCAGCAAGGCUAUAGCUGGCCAAGGAGACCCAGGGACUCUCCAGUGCUGGGAUUCCAAGGCUGCACCGCGACACCCGGCUUUUUGUGUGGGUUCUGGGAGGUUCCCCUCAGGUCUUCAUGCUUGCACAGCACAUGCUUCACUCUUGAUUUAUUUUUUAUUUACUUAUUUAUUAAAUGUACAUUGGUGUU